UGGACCCAGACCCUCAGCUUACUAAGCAUGAGUUUUCACCACUAUUGUUUCCACCAAGUGGGUCCACUAUCCUGUGUGAAGUUCAUAAGCUUUGUGAUUUUCCAGUCUACUCAAAUGGAAAUAAACCUGGAUCUGUUCCAAAUGUGCGACCAGGUCCAACUACCCCGGGUGUGGACAUUCUGGUAAACACCACGGAACCAGAUAACUCCACAUCUCUGCCUGGUUUUAACUAUGUGACCCAGGUCUCAACAAAAUCCCCCACACCUGGACAGAAGAGUGUUUGUGUACAGAUGGAUGAC